CUCAAAGAAGCUGAAAACAAGGCUGGGGAGGGAGGGCUUCAGAUGUGCAUAUUGUAAGGAACUCAGACUUCUUAUCUCAGAAGUUCCACCAUGCAGGAGAUCAGAUUUUAGCCGACAGGGGCUUCACUUUGAAGGAUGACUUUGCUGUUCUGGGUGCACAGCUCAUCACACCGUCUUUCACGAGGGGCCGAAAACAACUGUCAGCCGAAGAUGUUGCAAAUUCUCGUGUGACUUCGAACAUCAGAAUUCACAUUGAGAGUCAUUGGUGCCCUGAAGAGCCGGUACCACAUUCUGGAUGGCCCACUUCCUCUGCGCCUGGUGAAGAGACUGCAGGAUGAGAGACAGAAGAGAGAAGAGGCCAUGAUUGAUAGGAUUGUGCAUGUCUGUGCAGCACUAAUGAACCUGUCUGGCAGUCUCAUGUACAACCGUUACAGAAUCUGAGAGUCCCUGAACUGAUCUCAGUGCUGCUCUGCUGCUGCACACCCUGUCACCCUGCCUCUGAUGCCUGACACCCUGCCUCUGAUGCCUGACGCCCUGCCUCUGAUGCCUGUCGCCCUGCCUCUGAUGCCUGACGCCCUGCCUCUGAUGCCUGACGCCCUGCCUCUGA